rnacentral:rRNA from 1 species
CAGUCGCCGCGGUAAUACAGAGGGUGCAAGCGUUAAUCGGAAUUACUGGGCGUAAAGCGCGCGUAGGUGGUUAGUUAAGUUGGAUGUGAAAUCCCCGGGCUCAACCUGGGAACUGCAUUCAAAACUGACUGACUAGAGUAUGGUAGAGGGUGGUGGAAUUUCCUGUGUAGCGGUGAAAUGCGUAGAUAUAGGAAGGAACACCAGUGGCGAAGGCGACCACCUGGACUGAUACUGACACUGAGGUGCGAAAGCGUGGGGAGCAAACAGGAUUAGAUACCCGCGUAGUCCCUGUCUCUUAUAC